rnacentral:lncRNA from 10 species
AGAGACUCAACUUUUCCUAAAUUUUCUCCCACGGAUGGUGUAGGGAUGUGGUCCGGGGAAGGUGGGAACUGGCUCAAUUCAGCCACCAAGAAAAGGAGGCAAUGAAGUCCAAAUCUUUCUUCACGCAGCACUUUAAAAUGGAAGCACCAACGCUGGCAUCAGCAGAGUCCUUCAAAGAAUUUGAUUCAGUGGAGGCCAACUCAACAAAAUAGAAAGCCCCAGAUGGACAGCCAUUGGCUGCACCUGGAGCAGACAAUUGAGAGGCCUGGCUCAUGGAUGGGUUUGAACCACCUCAGGACUGAAGAUGAGCGGCUCAGUUUCACUAACAACAAGAACAGUGACAAAUUCCCUGCCCGGCCCAAGCUCUGUGGUCCUUAUGCAGGUAGAGUCCUCAUGCUGAAUGUUUGCAAGCUGACUCUUCAAUAAGACCGUGAGCUCCUUGAGAAAGGAAUUGGGUCUCUGUGCAGUGUAUCACAUCUACCUCAAUGCUCUGCUUAGAGGAAGUGUUUGAAAAUUUUUUGUGUGAUAAAUAAUAAUACUAAUCCAGUUAAGAUAUACUGCCCUCGGUAUGAAAAACUCUAUCCCAAGGUGGAGCAGGUCAUCCCUAAGUUCAGGGUGAGGAGAUGACCUACCCUUCUGCCCCGCAACGCCAUCCUACAUCUGAAAUUCUUCUUAAGGGCAUGGUGGAAACCCUUACCUUUGAGAUGAGCCCAGUACCAGCACUAACAUAUGGAACCAUAGAGUUGACACUGGAGGAACCCCCAGGUUUCAUUUGAGAGGACACUGGAGUUCAGCGUGGAAGAAAGGCCUGCCCAAAGUCACACAGCCCAGGGCUCCUGGCAGGGAGCCACGGCUGCUUUCUCUGCUCCAUACUGGAAUUAAAGGUUGAAUUCCAGGCAAUUUUCCAGUUCCUAGUCCCACUGGAUGGAAAGUCAACACACCUGGUUCUCUCAGUGAUCUGAAAUCACAUGCAGAAAUCCACUCCUUAGUCACAAAGAGAAGUUAGUGGAAGUGUGUUUUGUUCCUAGUUAUCCUCUCCAAAGGUUCAGCCCUUUGCAUUCCCUUAGGAGAAAACAGGGCCUGCCCUCCUCAUGUCUGUCACCUGUCCAAGAUCAUUCCUUCUAUCAUUCACCUCCCAUUAACCAAAAUCCCCUUCUCUAGGUACCUGGGUCUUGGACAGCUGUCAAGUGGAAAGCCUUCUGAUUAACUAAUACUAUAAUGUAAAUGACUGCAAAGUUCCCUCUUGUGAUAACUGAGUCCUGGACAGUGGUCAAGGAAGAAAUCCUUCUUAUUAAUUCCCAGUAAGAUGUGAAUCACUGACAACUAGCUCUCCAAUUGUAUCGUCAAAGAGAGUGCCUGGAGGUUCAAAAUGUUCGUAAUUCCUUUCAUUUGUUUGACAAUUAUAGAAGUUUUGCUCAAAUCUGGGUUUAGUCACUUAGGAGCUUUGACCUUAUUAAAGUUAUUUAACCUCCCUGAGCCUCAGUUACCUCACUGGGAAAAUGAAGAUCAUAAUUAGACCCCAAAAUAUCAGGUGAGAAUUAACUGGGCUCACAGCAUAGCCUCUGACUGAUUAUAGGUGCUUAAUAAAUGUUAGUUCCUUUUGAAAGAUAGAAGUUGCCACCCAUGGAGAUUUUAAAACUUGCUCAAGAGCACUGCUGGUGAGAGCUGGGUCAGAAACAGCAGUUCAGAAGCUUCUAGCAGCGUUGCAAAGUCCCUCCUGGCAGGACAUCAGCAUUGGUCUCAUUCAUUGACACAUGUCUGAGGCCCAUGCCUGGGUACUAGGGAUAUGGGCAAUGUGGAGAGGCUGGUGGGCAGAGUACUUGGAGAGUGGUAGUUGCAUGGGAGUAGUCACAGAAAUCACUGUUUUGGGAGUCUUCAGCAGACUCCAUCACUGUGGCCAAGCUGGGGAGAUGAGGGUGGCUUGAGGUUGGGUUAGACAGGCAGGGCAGAGGUGUGUGGCAUUGUUGAUGGGCCAGGUCAACUUGGAUGAGGUCUCUUGGCAUGCACCUCUCCUAGGGGAUGUGAGAGCUGACCUCUGUGGGGAAAGACCUGGGCUAUCCAUCACCUGUUUGCUCAGGGCAUUAUGCCCUUGUGUGAGAGGCAGCUGAGUGGCCACAGGGCCUCUGCAGCCUCCAAACCUGGGAGACAAAGAGGGGAAGGCUGACUCCCUCUUGGUGAGGAACCAACUUCUUCUAAUUCAAGGAGGCUGGGGCUGCCACCACCUGACAUCAGCCAUGGGGACCGGUUUGUUCUGUCAUGUCUUCAGAGGACUGGCCUUGGAAAGCAGCACUGCUGGAAAUCCUGCUGUAAAGCACAGACUUCUGCCAUGGAGUCCAAGUUUGUCCAAGUUUUCAUGCAAUGGGUUUGCUAAAAGUGGGACCUAUUGUUUUGUUAUAGAAACCUGGGCUAAGGACUCACAGCAGAUAAAAAUAAACUUAUUUCAUUAUCAAAGUAAAACAUGUCCAUUGCAAAGGAUAUAGAAAAUACAAGAAAAGUGAAAUGUUAAAAUCAUGCACAGUGCCAUCCCAAACUCUUACUAAGAUUCUAUGUGUUAUGUUCGUGCAAAAGUAACUGCAGUUUUACCAUUACUUUUAAUGGCAAAUUAAAAGUUUAUUCCCUUUGAUGCAAUAUUGGGACUCUAAUUAAAAGUUACGGCAAACUCGCAAAACCUAAUAUUUUCUUCUACCAUUUUUUCCACAUACAUUUUUGCAGAUGUCAUCUUAGUUUCCUGCCAUUUUGUCACAUGCAUAAACAUAUUUUAAAUUAUUAUAAUAUGCUUAUACAUUUCUUUUGUUUACUGUCUUUUU